rnacentral:lncRNA from 1 species
GCUGAACUGGAAAAGGAAAGUUCCUCCAGUACAAUCUCUAGCUGAACCUGAUCUCCAUCUCCGCCAGUCUGAUAAAUCUUUUCUUAUUGCACUUCUUUGUAUCAACACUCGGCUAUAACUUUGGCUUCUUAAUUUGUAAACAAAUUAAUUAGUUUCUCACUCUUUCUCUAUCCCCUUGCUUCUUCUUCUGGGAUUUUCUAUCCCCUUUUUAACUAUUUGGUCAAUUUUGCUGCUAUAGAGAAGCACGGAAAUGGAAGCUUCAUUGUGUUUUUUUUUGUUCAAGCAUGCAUGUGUAAUUUUAAGGCCGUAGGCACUUGCUAAAUCAGUAAAUUCAGUUAUUCAGGCACAAAAAUGAUCUGACCCAUAUCUUCGCCCGACAAACCUUAG